AUUAAGCAUAUUAAUGAGGGGAGGAAAAGAAACUAACAAGGAUUUUCUUAGUAGCGGCGAGCGAAAAGAAAACAGUUCAGCACUAAGUCACUUUAUCUUUAUGGUAAAUGUGAGAUGCAGUGUAUGGAAUGACUAUAUUCAAAUAUGAGAAAUUAAUGAUUUAAGUCCUUCUUAAAUGAGGCCAAUUACCCAUAGAGGGUGCCAGGCCCGUAUAACAUUAAUGAUUAUUUGAAGUCAUUUCCAAAGAGUCGUGUUGCUUGAUAGUGCAGCACUAAGUGGGUGGUAAACUCCAUCUAAAACUAAAUAUAACCAUGAGACCGAUAGUAAACAAGUACCGUGAGGGAAAGUUGAAAAGAACUCUGAAUAGAGAGUUAAAUAGUACGUGAAACUGUUUAGAGGUUAAGCCCGAUGAACCUGAAUAUCCGUUAUGGGAAAUUCAUCAUCAAGAUUUUAUAAUUUUAAUUAAUUAUAAAGGAAUGGUGUGCAUUUUUCCCAUAUAAGGACAUUGUAAUCUAUUAACAUGCAAAUUUAUCAUAAGAUUAUUAACAUAAAGUUUAUUCAAAUUAUUUUGCUUGCAUUAUAACAUAGAAUAAAUGUUGAUAAUUUGAUAAAGUGUUGAUAGAUUUAUUAUAUAUAAUGUAAAAAUUUGCUUGCAAAUUUUACAAUGAUACAUAUUCAGUAUGUAUUCGUUGUAUACAUUUAUAUGAUUUACAAUGCGAAAGAUUCAGGAUACCUUCGGGACCCGUCUUGAAACACGGACCAAGGAGUCUAACAUAUGUGCAAGUCAUUGGGAAUAUUUAUAUAAACCCAUUGGCGUAAUAAACAUAACUAUUUUAUAUGGGAUUAGUUUUAAGGUCUAUUUUUAAUAGCCUUUUAAUUCAAUCCCGGGGCGUUCUAUACAGUUAUGUAUAAUAAUAUUUAUAUUAUUUAUACCUCUAACUAGAGCGUACCUUGAGCAUAUAUGCUGUGACCCGAAAGAUGGUGAACUAUACUUGAUCAGGUUGAAGUCAGGGGAAACCCUGAUGGAAGACCGAAACAGUUCUGACGUGCAAAUCGAUUGUCAGAAUUGAGUAUAGGGGCGCAAGACCAAUCGAACCAUCUAGUAGCUGGUUCCCACCGAAGUUUCCCUCAGGAUAGCUGGUGCAUUUUAAAAUUAUGUAAAAUAAUCUUAUCUGGUAAAGCGAAUGAUUAGAGGCCUUAGGGUCGAAACGACCUUAACCUAUUCUCAAACUUUAAAUGGGUAAGAACCUCACCUUUCUUGAUAUGAAGGUUGUGGUUGUGAUAUAAUGUGCCCAGUGGGCCACUUUUGGUAAGCAGAACUGGCGCUGUGGGAUGAACCAAACGUAAUGUUACGGUGCCCAAAUUAACAACUCAUGCAGAAACCAUGAAAGGCGUUGGUUGCUUAAAACAGCAGGACGGUGGACAUGGAAGUCGUAAUCCGCUAAGGAGUGUGUAACAACUCACCUGCCGAAGCAACUAGCCCUUAAAAUGGAUGGCGCUUAAGUUGUAUACCUAUACAUUACCGCUAAAGUAGAUGAUUUAUAUUCAAUUUCGGUUGAAUUAUAAAUUUUGAAACUUUAGUGAGUAGGUGGGUACAAUGGUGUGCUUAGAAGUGUUUGGCGUAAGCCUGCAUGGAGCCUCCAUUGGUACAGAUCUUGGUGGUAGUAGCAAAUAAUCGAAUGAGAUCUUGGAGGACUGAAGUGGAGAAGGGUUUCGUGUGAACAGUGGUUGAUCACGAGUUAGUCGGUCCUAAGUUCAAGGCGAAAGCCGAAAAUUUUCAAGUUAUUAUUAAAAUGGUUAAAAAAAAAUAAUAUAUAUACACAUAAAUAAAAUAUGGUAUGAAAAAAAAAUAUAUAUAAAUAUGAAAAUAUCUAUAUAUAUUUAAUAUGUAUAUAUAAUUAUUUAAUAUAUUAUGGCUAUGAAAUGAAAUACUUGAAAAAUUUUGAACGAAAGGGAAUACGGUUCCAAUUCCGUAACCUGUUGAGUAUCCGUUUGUUAUUAAAAAUGGGCCUUGUGCUCAUCCUGGCAACAGGAACGACCAUAGAGAAGCCGUCGAGAGAUAUCGGAAGAGUUUUCUUUUCUGUUUUAUAAUCGUAUAACCAUGGAAGUCUUUCGAAGAGAGAUAUGGUUAAUGGAUUAGAAGAGCAUGACAUUUACUGUUGUGUCGAUAUUUUCUCCUCGGACCUUGAAAAUCUAUGGUGGGGUCACGCAAACUUCUCAACAGGCCGUACCAAUAUCCGCAGCUGGUCUCCAAGGUGAAGAGUCUCUAGUCGAUAGAAUAAUGUAGGUAAGGGAAGUCGGCAAAUUAGAUCCGUAACUUCGGGAUAAGGAUUGGCUCUGAAGAUUGAGAUAAUCGGGCUUGAUUGGGAAGCAAUAACAUGGUUUAUGUGCUCGUUCUGGGUAAAUAGAGAUUUUCGGAUCUUGUUCCCCGGAUAGUUGUUACAUAACCAAUUGUGGAACUUUCUUGCUAAAAUUAUAUUUAUUCAUGUAUGCUUCACGG
rnacentral:rRNA from 1 species